rnacentral:rRNA from 1 species
GACGAACGCUGGCGGCGUGCUUAACACAUGCAAGUCGUACGGUAAGGCCCUUUCGGGGGUACCCGAGUGGCGAACGGGUGAGUAACACGUGAGUAACCUGCCCACAACUUUGGGAUAACGCUAGGAAACUGGUGCUAAUACUGGAUAUGUGCUCCUGCUGCAUGGUGGGGGUUGGAAAGCUCCGGCGGUUGUGGAUGGACUCGCGGCCUAUCAGCUUGUUGGUGGGGUAGUGGCCUACCAAGGCGGCGACGGGUAGCCGGCCUGAGAGGGUGACCGGCCACAUUGGGACUGAGAUACGGCCCAGACGCCUACGGGAGGCAGCAGUGGGGAAUAUUGCACAAUGGGCGCAAGCCUGAUGCAGCAACGCCGCGUGCGGGAUGACGGCCUUCGGGUUGUAAACCGCUUUCAGCAGGGACGAAGCUUUUUGUGACGGUACCUGCAGAAGAAGCACCGGCUAACUACGUG